UUUUACCUUCAAACUCUCAAUCCCUCUCUUCCCUCUUCUCUCACAUCCCACUGCCCUCACCCACGGCGGCGGCACAACCAAGCCCAGCCACGAGUUCCACCACCAACAGCAACCACUUCUCCUCCUCCCUUUAUUGUUGGAGACGAUAUCAUUGAAAAACCCUUCUAAUUGAUAGCUGGAUUCGUUACCUUGAAGCGACAUCGUCGCUUGUCUACAGAUCGGAACCAAUCGGGAAUAAUGGAUUAGCGGAGGUGAAUAGAGUUUCCAUGGAUGUUAAUUGAGCUGAGUACUUAGGAAUUAUAGAUUUGUAUUAGGAAUUUUGGAUAAAUGUAAAUUUGUUUUGGCUGUGCUGGUUAUAUCGGACUUGUAGAGAAUUGUAUGAUUAUCUUGUGUAAUAGUUAGAUGUUGGUUUUGGGAUUUAGCCGAGUUAGUCACGUUGAAGAGCUUGUGACCCCUUUGCUUGAGUUUUGGAAGUGAGAUUUCAGUUUCUUGAGAAACGAACCCAAUGAUGACCCUGUUUACCCAGUCAAUGGUAAUUCGGGUUGUUACAACUACCACUUGAAGCAUCAAUGUCAUGUUGCACGAGAUUUGAUCAUAUCGCACGAACAAAGCUAUAUUUAUGCAACGUGUACGACCACAUGUGCACACAUGUAGAGUCAUAUAAGAAUAAUGGACUCCAUGACUAGCCACAUUAGUAAUUGACCUGACGUUUAGGUCACCAACAGGUAGGAAUGUUUAAAACAAGAUACCAGAUCAUUAUUGAUUCAAAUACUUGAUAUUUUGGAGAGCCAAAUCAUGAUUUGGUUCUGUUUCGGGUUAAUCGAAUAUGUGGGUUACCCCGGAUCGAAUACUGGAUACUUGAUUAUGUUUUUAUUUUAAAUUAUUUUUUUUUCUCAUUUUACGCUUUUGUACAUACAUACAUUUAGUGCUUUUGUACACACAUACAUUUAAGUCCAUAUUGCUUUUGCGUAAAGAGUAUUCUUCAACCUGACGAUGUUUUAAGAAAUAUUUCAAAAGUCUAAACUAAUUAGCAAUCGAUAAAUUACGCAACUUAGUUGUAGUUGAGAAUUGUA